AAAUCUAAAUCCCUAAUCCUCUCUUCAACCCAUAAGUUCUCGCUCAACCCUCUCCUUGACAUCGGCAACUGACUGCAACUGAUAGAAACCCAGGACAAGAGCAUUUCAGCAACCCACAUUUCGACAAAAAUGUGAGAUCUUUUGAAGAACCCAUUGAAGAACUUGAACGCCAUGCUCAAGCUUAACCCAUAUGCUAAGACUGGUAGAAGAAUGACUCUUUUGGCAGAGAAGCAACGUGUUAAGGCUAAAAAGGUGAAACUCGACAAGAAGAGGAAUUUGACUACAAAGGAUCUGAAGCUUAAUUAAGUUGGAGCAAGGGGAAGUUUUGCUUUUCUGCAGUUAGUGGAGCAGAGAAGAUUCCAUAUGAAGUUGAUAUUGAUCUACAUGAUAAAGUUGACAUAAAUGAGAGCAAGGCUAGUGUUGGCAUGUGAAAACAUAUGGUAUUUGAUAGAAAAAGGUUGAAAAGAAGUGGUGGAGUAGAUUGUUGAAGCAAGAGGGGAAACCUCCUGUGUUUGUCAAAAAAAAUUCAUUUAUUGGGACGAAUGGAUAAAUGAAGAUGAGAAAAAAAGGAGAUAAUUGUGAGUUGCUUUAACUUUUAAGAAUAUUUUCUUUUGGGAGAGUAUGUUUUCUCUUUUAUGUUUAGUUUAAGAAUUGUUGCGUUUAUGUAGUAGCAAUGAGUAGUGGUUCAUUAUUUGAUGAUGAUGUUGGACAUUGAUUCUGCCCUUAUGAAGUAUGUUAUUUAGUUAGCAUUUCGUCUUUA